rnacentral:rRNA from 1 species
UACGGGGGGAGCAAGCGUUGUUCGGAUUUACUGGGCGUAAAGGGCGCGUAGGCGGCCACUGCAAGUCGGUUGUGAAAUCUCCGGGCUUAACCCGGAAAGGUCAAUCGAUACUGCAGGGCUAGAGUGCAGAAGGGGCGACUGGAAUUCUCGGUGUAGCGGUGAAAUGCGUAGAUAUCGAGAGGAACACCUGCGGCGAAGGCGGGUUGCUGGGCUGACACUGACGCUGAUGCGCGAAAGCUAGGGGAGCGAACGGG